rnacentral:rRNA from 1 species
CCUACGGGGAGCUGCAGUGAGGAAUAUUGGUCAAUGGCCGCAGGGCUGAACCAGCCAAGUCGCGUGAGGGAUGACGGUCCUAUGGAUUGUAAACCUCUUUUGUCAGGGAGCAAAGGGCGCCACGUGUGGCGCUUUGCGAGUACCUGAAGAAAAAGCAUCGGCUAACUCCGUGCCAGCAGCCGCGGUAAUACGGAGGAUGCGAGCGUUAUCCGGAUUUAUUGGGGUUAAAGGGUGCGCAGGCGGAAUGUCAAGUCAGCGGUAAAAUUUCGGGGCUCAACCCCGUCGUGCCGUUGAAACUGGCGUUCUUGAGUGAGCGAGAAGUAUGCGGAAUGCGUGGUGUAGCGGUGAAAUGCAUAGAUAUCACGCAGAACUCCGAUUGCGAAGGCAGCAUACCGGCGCUCAACUGACGCUCAUGCACGAAAGCGUGGGUAUCGAACAGGAUUAGAUACCCUAGUAGUC